AGUGAACGCUGGCGGUAGGCCUAACACAUGCCAGUCGAACGGCAGCACAGUAAGAGCUUGCUCUUACGGGUGGCGAGUGGCGGACGGGUGAGGAAUACAGCGGAAUCUACUUUUUCGUGGGGGAUAACGUAGGGAAACUUACGCUAAUACCGCAUACGACCUACGGGUGAAAGCAGGGGAUCUUCGGACCUUGCGCGAUUGAAUGAGCCGGUGUCGGAUUAGCUAGUUGGCGGGGUAAAGGCCCACCAAGGCGACGAUCCGUAGCUGGUCUGAGAGGAUGAUCAGCCAAACUGGAACUGAGACACGGUCCAGACUCCUACGGGAGGCAGCAGUGGGGAAUAUUGGACAAUGGGCGCAAGCCUGAUCCAGCCAUACCGCGUGGGUGAAGAAGGCCUUCGGGUUGUAAAGCCCUUUUGUUGGGAAAGAAAAGCAGCAGGUUAAUACCCCGCUGUUCUGACGGUACCCAAAGAAUAAGCACCGGCUAACUUCGUG
rnacentral:rRNA from 1 species